UUGAUUUAUUUUGAGAGUUUUU
rnacentral:snRNA from 1 species